rnacentral:rRNA from 1 species
GACGAACGCUGGCGGCGUGCCUAAUACAUGCAAGUCGAACGCAGUGGGGACGGGUGAGUAACACGUGGGUAACCUCCCCAUCAGAGGGGAUAACACUUGGAAACAGGUGCUAAACCGAUACUGAUGGAUGGAACCGCGGUGCAUUAGCUAGUUGGGGAGGUAACGGCUCACCAAGGCCACGAUGAAUAGCCGAUCUGAGAGGUUGAUCGGCCACACUGGGACGGAGAAACGGCCCAGACGCCUACGUGAGGCAGCAUUAGGGAAUCUUCGGCAAUGGACGAAAGUCUGACCGAGCAACGACGAGUGAGUGAAGAAGGUUUUCGGAUCGUAAAACUCUGUUGUUAGAGAAGCGGUAUCUAAACAGAAAGCCACGGCUAACUCCGUGCCAGCAGCCGCGGUAAUAC